AGAAUCAACGCUGGCGGCGUGCCUCAGACAUGCAAGUCGAAUGCGAAAGUCCCCUUCGGGGGAUAAGUAGAGUGGCGCACGGGUGAGUAACACGUAGGUAAUCUACCUUCGGGUGGGGAAUAACCCAGGGAAACUUGGGCUAACACCGCAUAAUGCAGCGGCACCACAUGGUGACAGUUGUUAAAGCGGGGGAUUUUAGGACCUCGCGCCUGAAGAGGAGCCUGCGGCAGAUUAGCUAGUUGGUAAGGUAACGGCUUACCAAGGCGACGAUCUGUAACCGGCCUGAGAAGGCGGUCGGUCACACUGACACUGACAUACGGGUCAGACUCCGUACGGGAGCAGCAGUCGGGAAUUUUGGGCAAGUGGG
rnacentral:rRNA from 1 species